rnacentral:rRNA from 1 species
UACGAAGGGGGCGAGCGUUGUUCGGAAUUACUGGGCGUAAAGGGCGCGCAGGCGGCUCUGAAAGUCAGAUGUGAAAGCCCCGGGCUUAACCUGGGAACUGCAUUUGAUACUCUGGAGCUUGAGUACGGGAGAGGAGAGUGGAAUUCCCAGUGUAGAGGUGAAAUUCGUAGAUAUUGGGAAGAACACCAGUGGCGAAGGCGGCCGGCUGGGGGCGCCCUGACGCUGAGGCGCGAGAGCGUGGGGAGCGAACCGG